CCAGAGUGUGACCUCAAGAGGGUGGUGUCAGCUCAAAGGCCACUCAGCUGCUCUCAGCUGUCUUUGCUGGAAUGGAAAGAGAUCUUGUUGUAAGAGGAGCGUUGGAUGAACCAGCCCCAACCCAGGGUCUAGAGUUUGAGGAGUGACAAGGGCAGAUCUCUAAGGAAGCGAAACUCCUCUGAGACCCGACAGGGAACCAGCUUCCUCGAGGAACCUGAGUGAAAGGAGGACCUGUCACCUGAGCCUCCUCAGGUCAUCCAUCGUCCUCGAAGGAUCCAUCCUGAGGCAUCAACUGAAAAUUAUGGCUCCUGAGAAAGAAUAAAGCACACUGUUCACUGCCAGGAUGAGUGUCCCUGUGGCAGCAUCUAGAGCUUGCCUGUUGCUCCUGCUAACGACCUCUGUCCCCCGUGUGGCCCUUUCUUUCUGUCACUUCUGUAGCUGUACUGUUGACAACUCUUCUCUAGGUGUCUCUGAAGCCCUGAAAGGCCUCUCAGCUUGGCAUGGCCCCCCGCCCCGCCCCAGCUCGCUCUCUUGAUGCCCAUGUGUGUGACUUGACAGCAUUCCUGCCUUGCUGGCCCACUGCCCCACUCCAAGGAAGGACGCUCUCAAGGUCCAGGUCCCUGGCAGUGUCAGGGCAACAUCAGUGGAAUGAGAACCCUGCUGAGCACAUGGGGCAGCUGUUUCCGUGGGACCUGCUGUCCUGACCUGGGAGUGCCAUGCUGGGGACAUGCUGAGGACCACAGGAGGUGCAGGAGUGGCCUCCAGGGGCACAGCCCACCUCCACUGACCCCCUGGCUCCCUGAGGCAGAGACACGGGUGCAGAGCUGGCCUAUCACAUGCUCUUUCCUGGUACCCUGAGUUUUUGGGUGAAUGAAGAAAAGGAGGGAGGAGAGAGAGGGUGGUGACUCCUCCAGGGGACAUGCCCCAGGAUCUGAGCUUAGGGUGGAGCUGCUACGCCCUGGCCACCAUGGCUUCUGGUUUUCCAACCUGGUCUCCCCACCCUGUGAAGAGCCCACUAUCACACAUUGUCCUGGC
rnacentral:lncRNA from 1 species